UGAGGAAUAUUGGUCAAUGGACGCAAGUCUGAACCAGCCAAGUAGCGUGCAGGAUGACGGCCCUAUGGGUUGUAAACUGCUUUUAUAUGGGGAUAAAGCGGGGAACGUGUUCCCUUUUGCAGGUACCAUAUGAAUAAGGACCGGCUAAUUCCGUGCCAGCAGCCGCGGUAAUACGGAAGGUUCGGGCGUUAUCCGGAUUUAUUGGGUUUAAAGGGAGCGUAGGCCGUUUGGUAAGCGUGUUGUGAAAUGUAGGAGCUCAACUUCUAGAUUGCAGCGCGAACUGUCAGACUUGAGUGCGCACAACGUACGCGGAAUUCAUGGUGUAGCGGUGAAAUGCUUAGAUAUCAUGAAGAACUCCGAUUGCGAAGGCAGCUUACGGGAGCGCAACUGACGCUGAAGCUCGAAGGUGCGGGUAUCGAACAGG
rnacentral:rRNA from 1 species